AGCAGACACACACUCCCGAGCCCAACCCAAAGCUUGAUCAUCACCGUCUCCUCUGCUUUCCCUCCAAAAUUGCUGAAGCCAUUCUCGCUCUCGAUCUCGAUCUCUGAAGAAAGAAAAUGGAGGAGUAUCUGCAGUACAUGAAGACAUUGCGCUCUCAAAUGAACGAUGUGGAGGAUCAAGCAGCGAAGGUCUCAGUGGAGGAGCAAAUGCAAUUAACCACCAUCCAGACCUUAGACAACGAUCUCAAUUCUGCAAUAUCCGAAACAAAACGAUUCAUGGAAGACAUUGAGCAGAUGAAGAAUGCUAAGGGUCAAGUAUGCUCACGGAUCCUGGAAAGACAGAGAAAGAUACUUUGUUUGGAGUCAGAUUCAUCCACCCUUAUCCAGACUCUGGAGCUUAUUGAACAAGAAAGGAUCAACUUGGCUGCCAAGCUUAUUCAGAAGAGCACUUACUACUUGAAAGUGUCAGGUGAUAUCAAUGCCAAAUUGCAGCAACAACAGGAUUGGAUUAGUGGUCACCAGACUACUACAGAACUUGGAGAACCUGGAAUGGUUAAGGAUACAAUUGAUGAGCAAAGAGUUGAUAUUCAAGGCAAGGCUAGCAUUGGUGACCACCUCUACAUGGAUGAUCAGGACAAUGAUGCAAGAAAGAACCUAAUGGCGAUGGUUGACUCUGCUAAAGUCAAGCUUGAUGAGAUUCUACGAAUGAAAUCUGAACUUAUCGGAGAGAAUUACAAGACGAAGCAGGCUAUUGAGCAACUAAAUUGCAGGGAAAAUGAUUUUAAGGUCAGUUGUUUGCUCAAUACAGCCAGAGCUAAGGGCAUUGGACAUAAAGACCCUGGAGGACGAAUACAGUGCCCUUUUAUCAGAUAAAGCUGGAGAAACUGAAUACUUGAAGUCUCUGCAGGACCAAAUUGAUAAAAUAAAGGGUAUAUCUCAUGUGCUUAAAUGUGCUUGCGGAGAGGAAUACAAAGUGGAACUGGACUCUUGUGUAUGAAAAAACUUGAAACACGAGCAUGAAUUGGGGUAAGAUGGGCGGCUCAGAAAUGAAAGCUUCUCUUGGCUAGAAUUCUUUUCAGGUAACCAUGCAAACAAAAAAUCAAAACUGAUUGUAUAACUAUCUGCAGUAGGAACAUAUUGACAUUACUUCAGCAGCUGGUAAAUGCAACUUGAAUGUAAUUUGUGAAUAGAUGUUGGUUGAACUAUGGACAGAUUGCUCAUGAAAACUCUAUAAUACAUGAAA